rnacentral:misc_RNA from 1 species
GAUGAGAACGUAGUGAAAUGCGAUAAGUAAUGUGAAUUGCAGAAUUCAGUGAAUCAUCGAAUCUUUGAACGCACAUUGCGCCCGCCAGUAUUCUGGCGGGCAUGCCUGUUCGAGCGUCAUUACAACCCUCAGGCCCCCGGGCCUGGCGUUGGGGAUCGGCGGAGCCCCCCGUGGGCACACGCCGUCCCCCAAAUGCAGUGGCGGUCCCGCCGCAGCUUCCAUCGCGUAGUAGCUAACACCUCGCGACUGGAGAGCGGCGCGGCCACGCCGUAAAACACCCAACUCUUCUGAAGUUGACCUCGAAUCAGGUAGGAAUACCCGCUGAACUUAAGCAUAUCAAUAAGCGGAGGA